CUAUCCAUUCCAUCAGUCAGGUAGGAGGAGUCUAUCCAUUCCAUCAGUCAGGUAGGAGGAGUCUAUCCAUUCCAUCAGUCAGGUAGGAGGAGUCUAUCCAUUCCAUCAGUCAGGUAGGAGGAGUCUAUCCAUUCCAUCAGUCAGGUAGGAGGAGUCUAUCCAUUCCAUCAGUCAGGUAGGAGGAGUCUAUCCAUUCCAUCAGUCAGGUAGGAGGAGUCUAUCCAUUCCAUCAGUCAGGUAGGAGGAGUCUAUCCAUUCCAUCAGUCAGGUAGGAGGAGUCUAUCCAUUCCAUCAGUCAGGUAGGAGGAGUCUAUCCAUUCCAUCAGUCAGGUAGGAGGAGUCUAUCCAUUCCAUCAGUCAGGUAGGAGGAGUCUAUCCAUUCC